rnacentral:rRNA from 1 species
UGAGGAAUAUUGAUCAAUGGGCGAAAGCCUGAACCAGCCAUGCCGCGUGAAGGAUGACGGCCCUACGGGUUGUAAACUUCUUUUGUUUGAGAAGAAACCUCCCUACGUGUAGGGGGCUGACGGUAUCGAACGAAUAAGCAUCGGCUAACUCCGUGCCAGCAGCCGCGGUAAUACGGAGGAUGCAAGCGUUAUCCGGAUUCAUUGGGUUUAAAGGGUACGCAGGCGGAAGACUAAGUCAGUGGUGAAAUCCUGCAGCUUAACUGUAGAACUGUCAUUGAUACUGGUUUUCUUGGAUUCAGUUGAGGUAGGCGGAAUGUGUAAUGUAGCGGUGAAAUGCUUAGAUAUUACACAGAACACCGAUUGCGAAGGCAGCUUACUAAACUGCGAUUGACGCUGAGGUACGAAAGCGUGGGUAGCAAACAGGAUUAGAUACCCUGGUAGUCCACGCCGUAAACUAUGAUCACUCGUUGUUGGCAACACAUCGUCAGCGACUGAGCGAAAGCAUUAAGUGAUCCACCUGGGGAGUACGGCCGCAAGGUUG